CUGCUUUUACCCCUGGCAAGUGUUAUUGAAGCGAAAUUGCUUAAGCAUUGUUUCUUUGUGAAGUGUUAUUAUCUGCUUGUAUAUAUAUUGACAAUAAUCUGAUGUUAUUUCUCUUCGGUGAGUAGGCAGACCCUACACAGGUCCUAAAUGUUCCUGUUAUUCCAAUUGGAACAUUGCUUGCUGCUGCCCAUCCUUUUGCAGCUAACCCUCCCUACCUCCUGUCUUGGUUGAGUCCUCAAAUUUCUGCUCUGGACAUGUUGCAACCAAAGUUGUUUGAAAAGCUUGUUACGGAAAACUUCGGCCGUAGAUCUAGUGUAUCCUUGUAUAAUAGAAUUUCUCAAUCAUCAUGACGCAGCUUGAAGUUGUUGAGACUUCUUCUUCAUUCAAGCUUCGUUCUAUAUUUUUUUCCCCAUGAAGGAAGGAGCCGACUUAAGAAGAAUCUUCAAGCCAGUCUUGCCCUUAAAAUUCAACAUCAACUAGUACAUAUACAUACAUAAAAAGAGGUAAAGGAUCAAUACCAUGCAUGUAGUUGUAUUGUUGUAUUAAAGUUUGUUAAUAUCUACAGACAUUUAGAAAAAGUAGUGUAUGUUUAUAUGGUAUACAUAUAUCACUACUCUCUCUCUUAGACAACAAUACUUCAUCAUUUGUAAAUGGUUAACCAUUAGAAAUUUUGACUCUCACAAAACAUUUGAUGAUCUUAA